CUGAAUAUGGGGGGACCAUCCUCCAAGGCUAAAUACUCCUGACUGACCGAUAGUGAACCAGUACCGUGAGGGAAAGGCGAAAAGAACCCCGGCGAGGGGAGUGAAAAAGAACCUGAAACCGUGUACGUACAAGCAGUGGGAGCACGCUUAGGCGUGUGACUGCGUACCUUUUGUAUAAUGGGUCAGCGACUUAUAUUCUGUAGCAAGGUUAACCGAAUAGGGGAGCCGAAGGGAAACCGAGUCUUAACUGGGCGUUAAGUUGCAGGGUAUAGACCCGAAACCCGGUGAUCUAGCCAUGGGCAGGUUGAAGGUUGGGUAACACUAACUGGAGGACCGAACCGACUAAUGUUGAAAAAUUAGCGGAUGACUUGUGGCUGGGGGUGAAAGGCCAAUCAAACCGGGAGAUAGCUGGUUCUCCCCGAAAGCUAUUUAGGUAGCGCCUCGUGAAUUCAUCUCCGGGGGUAGAGCACUGUUUCGGCAAGGGGGUCAUCCCGACUUACCAACCCGAUGCAAACUGCGAAUACCGGAGAAUGUUAUCACGGGAGACACACGGCGGGUGCUAACGUCCGUCGUGAAGAGGGAAACAACCCAGACCGCCAGCUAAGGUCCCAAAGUCAUGGUUAAGUGGGAAACGAUGUGGGAAGGCCCAGACAGCCAGGAUGUUGGCUUAGAAGCAGCCAUCAUUUAAAGAAAGCGUAAUAGCUCACUGGUCGAGUCGGCCUGCGCGGAAGAUGUAACGGGGCUAAACCAUGCACCGAAGCUGCGGCAGCGACGCUUAUGCGUUGUUGGGUAGGGGAGCGUUCUGUAAGCCUGCGAAGGUGUGCUGUGAGGCAUGCUGGAGGUAUCAGAAGUGCGAAUGCUGACAUAAGUAACGAUAAAGCGGGUGAAAAGCCCGCUCGCCGGAAGACCAAGGGUUCCUGUCCAACGUUAAUCGGGGCAGGGUGAGUCGACCCCUAAGGCGAGGCCGAAAGGCGUAGUCGAUGGGAAACAGGUUAAUAUUCCUGUACUUGGUGUUACUGCGAAGGGGGGACGGAGAAGGCUAUGUUGGCCGGGCGACGGUUGUCCCGGUUUAAGCGUGUAGGCUGGUUUUCCAGGCAAAUCCGGAAAAUCAAGGCUGAGGCGUGAUGACGAGGCACUACGGUGCUGAAGCAACAAAUGCCCUGCUUCCAGGAAAAGCCUCUAAGCAUCAGGUAACAUCAAAUCGUACCCCAAACCGACACAGGUGGUCAGGUAGAGAAUACCAAGGCGCUUGAGAGAACUCGGGUGAAGGAACUAGGCAAAAUGGUGCCGUAACUUCGGGAGAAGGCACGC
rnacentral:rRNA from 1 species